GGAGUGGACCGGGUGGUCGCUUAUCAAGCAUCAUGAUGCUUGAUAAGAGGAAAGUCCGGACUCCAAAGGGCAGGGUGCUGGGUAACACCCAGGCGGAGUGAUCCGACAUCAGCGCCACAGAAAACAUACCGCCAGCGAGCUUCACGAGCCAUUCGUCCUGUCUCGUUCGGUAAGGGUGAAAAGGUGGGGUAAGAGCCCACCGCGCCUAUGGUGACAUGGGUGGCAGGGUAAGCAUCACCCGGAGCAAAACCAAAUAGGAGGACAUACCGAAGGGAACACUCUUCGAGAAAAGCUAGCCCGGCUAAAGUUCUCGGGUAGGUUGCUUGAGGCUUGAGGUAACUCGAGUCCCAGAGAAAUGAUCACCCCUGCUUAGUGGGAACGCUAAGCAGGACAGAAUCCGGCUUAUAGGUCCACUCCACUG
rnacentral:RNase_P_RNA from 1 species